rnacentral:tRNA from 3 species
GGGUCCGUAGCUUAGUCCGGUGGAGCGAGCGGCUCAUAACCGCUUGGUCGUCGGUUCAAAUCCGACCGGGCCCA